rnacentral:rRNA from 1 species
CACGUAGGGCGCAAGCGUUGUCCGGAAUUAUUGGGCGUAAAGAGCUCGUAGGUGGUUUGUUACGUCUGCUGUGAAAUCCUAGGGCUUAACCCUGGGCUUGCAGUGGAUACGGGCAGACUAGAGGUAGGUAGGGGAGAAUGGAAUUCCUGGUGUAGCGGUGAAAUGCGCAGAUAUCAGGAGGAACACCGGUGGCGAAGGCGGUUCUCUGGGCCUUACCUGACGCUGAGGAGCGAAAGCGUGGGGAGCGAACAGG